rnacentral:lncRNA from 1 species
CCUCCAAUCCAGACAGCCCAGAUGUCCUUGAUGAGGAGCUGCCUGAGCGCACUGCACAUAAUGCUUCAACAUCCUUGACCAGUGCACGUAUCCCGAACAGACAUGACUCACAGGCUACAAUGUGUGACAGCAGCUGUAGGUUGUGUUCCUUAGAAUUCAGCAUCCCUGCAAUGAAUAGCCAGCACACCGAUUUUCUUAUGCAUUCCUAUUUGCAGCUGCCCCAAGUGUUAUCGAUACUAUUGAAUCUUCGCACGGGGAGUGUCACAGUUUGGAGAGGCUAAGAAAAAUGGGCGGUGAAAGUGCCAAUUCUACCGUCGCUCUAUCAAAUGCCAUGACUGACAGUCUACCUGUACGAGCUCCUCCAGAGGCCCAGUACCUUUCUCCGGAUGAUGUAGGUGCUCUACAGGACAGGAUACGGCAAUUAGAA